rnacentral:tRNA from 1 species
GAGGGUAUAGCUCAAGCAGCAGAGCACAUGCUUAGUAUGCACGAGGUCCUGGGUUCAAUUCUCAGUACCUCCU